UCACCGGGAUUCUAUGAAGAUCU
rnacentral:miRNA from 1 species